GCCCUCGUAGCUCAGUUGGAUAGAGCGGCAGUUUCCUAAACUGCAGGUCACAGGUUCGAGUCCUGUCGGGGGUA
rnacentral:tRNA from 1 species